UACGUAGGGUGCAAGCGUUGUCCGGAAUUACUGGGCGUAAAGCGCGUGUAGGCGGCUAAGUAAGUCGGGCGUGAAAUCCCACGGCUCAACCGUGGAAGUGCACUCGAAACUGCAUAGCUAGAGUCCUGGAGAGGAAGGUGGAAUGCUUGGUGUAGAGGUGAAAUUCGUAGAUAUCAAGCGGAACACCGGUGGCGAAGGCGGCCUUCUGGACAGUGACUGACGCUGAGACGCGAAAGCGUGGGGAGCAAACAGG
rnacentral:rRNA from 1 species